CCCCAGCGCCACGAGUGGUUAUCACGAUUAUUGGGCCUAAAGCGUUCGUAGCCGGUUUGGUGCAUCUCUUGUGAAAUUGUUCGGCUUAACCGGACAGCGUGCAGGAGACACGGCCAAACUCGAGACCGGGAGGGGUUAGAAGUAUUCCAUGGGGACUGGUAAAAUGGGAUAAUCCAUGGAAGACUACCGAUGGCGAAGGCAUCUAACCAGAACGGAUCUGACGGUGAGGAACGAAAGCCAGGGGAGCGAACCGG
rnacentral:rRNA from 1 species